rnacentral:rRNA from 1 species
UACAGAGGUGGCAAGCGUUGUUCGGAAUUACUGGGCGUAAAGGGCGCGUAGGCGGUUCGUUAAGUCCUGUGUGAAAUCCCCCGGCUCAACUGGGGAACUGCACAGGAAACUAGCGGGCUUGAGUUCGGGAGAGGGAAGCGGAAUUCCGGGUGUAGCGGUGAAAUUCGUAGAUAUCGGGAGGAACACCGGUGGCGAAGGCGGCGACCUGGGUAGAUACUGACGCUGAGGUGCGAAAGCGUGGGGAGCAAACAGG